rnacentral:rRNA from 1 species
UACGAAGGGGGCUAGCGUUGUUCGGAAUUACUGGGCGUAAAGCGCGCGCAGGCGGUUCUUCAAGUCAGUGGUGAAAGCCCGGAGCUCAACUCCGGAACUGCCAUUGAAACUAGGUAGCUAGAAUCUUGGAGAGGUCAGUGGAAUUCCGAGUGUAGAGGUGAAAUUCGUAGAUAUUCGGAAGAACACCAGUGGCGAAGGCGACUGACUGGACAAGUAUUGACGCUGAGGUGCGAAAGCGUGGGGAGCAAACAGG